rnacentral:lncRNA from 1 species
AAAAAAAAUCUGAAUUAACUGGGUUAACCCGUCAAAUCUGGGAUUCAUGUCAUGAAAGUUUGAUAACUGAAUAGGAAAAAAAAAUUUACGGGUUAACCUAGAAUUAGCUGGGUUAACCCGUCAAACCCGGAAUCCGUGUCAUGAAAGUUUGAUAACUAAAUAGAAAAAAUUUAACAUUAACAAACUAAAUUAAACAAAAAAAAUUAAUUAAAAAGAAAAACCAGAAAAAAAUCUAGGUUAACCCGUCAAACCCGAAACCCGUGUCAUGAAAGUUUGAUAACUAAAUAGAAAAAAAAUUUAACAUUAACAAAAAAAAUUAAACAAAAAAAAUAUUCAUUAAAAAAACAAAAAAAAAAACAAAAAAAAAGCAAAAAAAGAAAAGAAAAAAAAUUGCUUUUAAAAAAACAAAGCAAAACGCAAAAAAGAAGAAGACAGCUCAGCGUUUCACUGUGGACUGCACUCGAAAAAAUUAAUUAAAAAGAAAAACCAGAAAAAAAAUCUGGGUUAACCCGUCAAACCCGAAACCUGUGUCAUGAAAGUUUGAUAACUAAAUAGAAAAAAAUUUAACAUUAACAAAAAAAAUUAAACAAAAAAAUAUUCAUUAAAAAAAAAGCUUAAAAAAAACAAAGAAAAAAGCAGAAAAGAAACAAAAAACAGCUUCUUUUUUUUAAAAAAAAGAGCGAAAACUGCUCAGCGUUUUACUAAAAAAACAAACAAAGAAAAGCCUAUAUGAAGAAAAAAACUAAUGAAAAAAAAGAAAAAAAAAUCUGAAUUAACUGGGUUAACCUGUCAAAUCUGAAAUUCGUGUCAUGAAAGUUUGAUAACUGAAAAGGAAAAAAAACAUUUACGGGUUAACCCAGAAUUAGCUGGGUUAACCCGUCAAACCCGGAAUCUGUGUCAUGAAAGUUUGAUAACUAAAUAGAAAAAAUUUAACAUUAACAAACUAAAUUAAACGAAAAAAUUAAUUAAAAAGAAAAACCAGAAAAAAAAUCCGGGUUAACCCCGUCAAACCCGGAACCCUUGUCAUGAAAGUUUGAUAACUAAAUAGAAAAAAAUUUAACAUUAACAAAAAAAAUUAAACAAAAAAAAAUAUUCAUUAAAAAAAAACAAAGAAAAAAAACUGCUUAAAAAAACAAAGAAAAAAGAAAAGAAAAGAAAAAGACAGCUCAGCGUUUCACUGUGGAUUGCACUCGAAAAAAUUAAUUAAAAAGAACCAAAAACAAAUCCGGGUUAACCCGUCAAACCCGGAACCUGUGUCAUGAAAGUUUGAUAACUAAAUAGAAAAAAAAUUUAACAUUAAAAAAAAUUAAACAAAAAAAUAUUCAUUAAAAAAAAUCUUAAAAAAAAACAAAGAAAAAGGCAAAAAAGAAAAAAAAAAAAGAGAAAACUGCUCAGCGUUUUACUAAAAAAACAAAGAAAGAAAAAGCCUACAUGAAGAAAAAAACUAAGGAAGAAAAAGAAAAAAAAUCUGAAUUAACUGGGUUAACUCGUCAAAUCUGGGAUUCGUGUCAUGAAAGUUUGAUAACUGAAUAGGAAAAAAAAAUUACGGGUUAACCUAGAAUUAGCUGGGUUAACCCGUCAAACCCGGAAUCCGUGUCAUGAAAGUUUGAUAACUAAAUAGAAAAAAUUUAACAUUAACAAACUAAAUUAAAUGAAAAAAUUAAUUAAAAAGAAAAACCAGAAAAAAAAUCCCGGUUAACCCGUCAAACUCGGAACCCAUGUCAUGAAAGUUUGAUAACUAAAUAGAAAAAAAUUUAACAUUAACAAAAAAAAA